AAAUGUCUGACAUUCGCUGGCUUGCUAGUCUAAGUCAACUUUUAAGCAUGUUUACAUGUAAAUAAGGGUAUGACAGCAACUAAUAAUGAAUUGUAAAACUAUUUACGGAUAAGUGCUAUCGAUUUAACGUAAUGAUAGAACUUUAAUGAAGUUAUUUAUGAAGCAAUCAGCCUUCGAUGUUCGUACAUGGAACUUUCGUAACCAGCAGGUCAGAGAGAUGGCCUUUUUGAACCAGGCUGGUUCGUUUGAACCAGGCUAGUUCAAGUGACCCAUAUUAAGACAUGUAUACAUAGGCCUAAUGAACCAUAAAUCACGAGACACGCGUUUUUCUGGUUUUAGAAGAAGACUUACAAUCAUUGUGUUGAUAUUCGCAUCAUGUUUCGCCAGCAUCAAAUGGCUACUUUCAGUCACAUGAUCAUAAUACAGCUGGGAAAAUUGCAAAAUGGCGGCGAGCUGAUGAAGCACGGCAAAAUAAUGUAUAAAAGUUGAAAAAUACCGUAAAUUUGAUGCAAAUAACUCCUGCUUUUUUGACAAAUCUAAAUUUGUUCCAUUUGAUCUUUGUUCUGUGGCAAAAAUCUAGUCAAUGCAGCUUAUGUAACUUGUCUGAGCACGAAGUUCAUCCUCAGAAGUAAGCCUCUACGUCAAAACAAGAUUGCGAAUAUGUUUCUAAGCACAUAUUUUUACAAGUUUUUCAUCACAAUUUAAUAUUUAUGACAAAUAUGGUUCAUUAGGCCCAUGUGUACAUGUCUUGUUAUGGGUCAGUUGGACCAGCCUGGUUCAAAUGAACCAGCUGGUGCAAACAGGCCAUCUCUCUGACCUGACCAGUGUCAGGCAAGAUAAAAAAUUACUACAAGGAACAAUUUCAACAAAUUUCUGGAUACCACAAUAUGAUUGUAACAUGUGAAUUGAAGUCAGACACCUUACCACCAUGCAACAGUAUCAUCUUUCUUCCGUAACCGCCGAACCCCUUUCGGUGAUGUAGACGUUGUUCGUCCCUUUUUUAUGGUUUGGCAGAUUCCCUAGAGAGCUGCAAUGUGAGAAGUGACAGUAAUGCAGAAUACCUACAGACCUUGAACAUGUUGAAGAGAAAUGAAGAGAUACAGCUCUAAAUUGUUCCACAUGGUGUGUGUGGGAAACAUAGUGGACAGAAAGCAUGUGACAAUGUGAAGUAACAGUAACACAGAAUGGCUAGAGACCAUUAACUUAAAAACUGAAGAGAUGCAGGUCUUUGUCAUGUUUGUUCUAUAUGGUGAUUGGUGGAACCAUGGUGCAGUUUUGAAUUUAUAAGGUGUAAAGUUACAGAAAAGCAGAAUAGCUACAGACCAUGAAAUUUAGAAAUGAAGAGAUGCAUGUCUUUGUUCAGCAUGGUGUAUAUGGGAAACAUUGUGGGUCGCAGACAUGAAAUGAUUUAUGUGAAGUAACAGUUAAGCAGAAUGGCUACAGACAAUUAGUUCAGAAUUGAAGAAGAGAUGCAGAUCUUUGUUCUAUAUGAUGUAUGAGGGAACCAUGGUGGAAAUUUGGAUUUCAUGGCAGUCAUAGAAAUAUCUAAUAAGUCUGUAGGACAGUUAUAUGUGUACCAGUCUGUCAGACUAUUAUGUGUCUGUCCAGUUGAAAAAUUGCAGUGGAUGCUUAGUUUCUCACAUAAUUUUGGCAGAAUUUUCACACAAGACAGAUUGCAAAAGACUUUAG
rnacentral:lncRNA from 1 species